AUUGGACAAUGGAGGCAACUCUGAUCCAGCCAUGCCGCGUGAAGGAAUAAGGCCCUAUGGGUUGUAAACUUCUUUUAGACGGGACAAAACCCCUUUACGUGUAAAGGUUUGAUGGUACUGUCAGAAUAAGCAUCGGCUAACUUCGUGCCAGCAGCCGCGGUAAUACGAAGGAUGCAAGCGUUAUCCGGACUUAUUGGGUUUAAAGGGUGAGUAGGCGGACUAAUAAGUCAGUGGUGAAAUCCUGCAGCUUAACUGCAAAAUUGCCAUUGAUACUGUUAGUCUUGAGUACAGUUGAGGUAGGCGGAAUGUGUCAUGUAGCGGUGAAAUGCUUAGAUAUGACACAGAACACCGAUUGCGAAGGCAGCUUGCUAAGCUGUAACUGACGCUGAGGCACGAAAGCGUGGGGAGCAAA
rnacentral:rRNA from 1 species